AUAAGAAUAUUUAAUAUGUAAUUCGUACCGCUUUUUUUCUUUUUUACCAUUCAAAUAUUUAUAGUGUACCGCAAAUACUUUAUUUCACCAAUCAAAGAUUAUUCUGUACCGCCCGUUCUUUAAAAACCGCACUUAUCCCAUAAAUAUAUUUCUUCCGCACGUACCACAAUUAAACCGUACUGCACUAUAAAACCGCUUUUCCGGCACAACUAAGGUUGUGAAUGGGAGCAUUGAAAUCGUGGAUUUCAAUAAUUAUUUUCGAAAACCGCACAUCAUUUACCAAUCAGCACUUAUAACUAUACGUUUGAGUUUUUUUUCUUUAAAAAAAACAUAUUGCGUUUUUCAGAAAUAAGUAAAAACACAUGGACUGCUUUUCAAUUUGGAAUACCUUUUUU
rnacentral:sRNA from 1 species